AGACCCAGUUACGAAUGAAAAUUGUUAGUAGUGGAUUUGGACGGUUAUAAAUAGUAUCAGAGCCUGUUAUCAAUAGAAAUUACUACCGAAAGUUUAAGCUGGAUUGUUACAAAUGGUUACAAAUGGCUAACAGUAAGUUUGAGCUGGCUUGUUACAAAUGGAAGUUUGAGUUGGAUAGUUACAAGUUGGGUAGUUACAAAUGGAAGUUUGAGCCGGGGAGUUUGAGCUGGAUUGUUACAAAUGGCUAGCAGUAAGUUUGAGUUGGAUUGUUACAAAUGGUGGAGAGCCGGUUACCGGUUACCGAAUAGUGCAAGACACUAGUUAGGAUUAAAUCACUUCAAGACACUAGUUAGGAUUAAACCACUUCCCUAAUAGACAGGUUUUAAAACCGUGAGGUUGAUGGUGAUGACUAUACGUAACGAAAUAUAUCUGCUGCUAGUGAUGAUGUUAUAUAGUAAUACAUUAUCGUUGGAGCGAUUUACAACUCAAUGACAAGAUAAUUUCACACGUGUGAAAAACUAAAAGCAUGCAAUACAGUUUAACUUAAUUUAAAUAACUUAGCCUAAUUUUUUUAAGUAUGAUUAGUAAUAAAUUUCCUCUCCUAAGUCGGGUUGUUCUAUAAGUUUAUUACAGUAUCUGGGUCGGGUAUGGGUGUCGGUUCGGAUUCGACCCAUUUGUGAGUCUUAGAGAAAGUGCAAAUCCUUCUUGAAGAGCAAGCAAAGACAACAAACAAAGGUGACCAUCUUCAUUUCAAUUUCAUCUGAGAGAUGCGGAGGAAGAAAUUGAAGGAGACGAAGAUCGCCAUGGAUCCAAAGCUAACUGAGGUCUCGCAGCACUUCGAUCGCUUCAAAGCUGCGUUUGUUAGGCACGAUAACGAUUCUUGUAGCAAUCUCCUCCCUCAGCUGAAGGUUCUUUUAACUGGAUUUAGAAGUCUUCCACCAUUGUUUGAAGAUACGCCCAAUGCAGUCCAUGAAUUGACGGUAGCUAGGGAUAUAUACGAGCAUGCUGUAUUACUUAGUGUGAAGAUUGAAGAUCAAGAUGCAUUUGAAAGAGAUUUCUUCCAAUUGAAGCCUUACUAUACUGAUGCUCGUAACUGCCUUCCGCCAUCCCCUCAGGAGUAUCCCAUCUUGGGUCUCAACCUUUUGAGGCUUCUUGUACAGAACAGAAUUGCUGAAUUUCAUACUGAACUUGAACUUCUCUCCACCUCUGCUUUGGAGAACCCAUGCAUUAAACAUGCUGUAGAGCUGGAGCAAUCUUUCAUGGAAGGGGCUUACAACCGUGUAUUGAGUGCUCGACAGACAGUGCCACAUGAAACCUUUGGUUAUUUUAUGGACCUCCUUGCAAAGACUGUAAGGGAUGAAAUAGCCGGUUGCAGUGAAAAGGCAUAUGAUUAUCUUUCAAUAAGUAAUGCCCGCCAAAUGCUGCUGUUUUCCUCUGACCAGGAACUUUUGGAAUAUGUCAAGGAGGAGCAUCCCGAGUGGGAGAUAACGAACGGCAUCUUAUAUUUCCAGAAGGUGAAAGAAUCUGCACCUUGCAAGGAAAUUCCUUCUCUUCAACUUAUCAACCAAACACUCAGUUACGCAAGGGAGUUGGAGCGGAUUGUAUGAACCAAGCUAGCAGCUUCUCAUGAUUGUCAUCUGCAGAUUUACAACAUGCCUAGAGCAGAGUUGCUUCAGGUUCGGAAAUUUUUGAAGCGAUGAAAAAAUGAAAUAAUUAGAGGAGAAAGGUACGUUAUAAUAUUCUAAACUUUUUAUCCAUGUUCCAUUGACCUGGAGUUUAUUAAUUUUUAGAUUAGUUAUGAUUUCAGAACUUCUAUU